UAUAGGAUCUCUAGCUCUCAUUGGAAGGAGGUCAAAAGUCAUGGGGAACAAGAGAGAGAGCAACAAAUCCAGGAACAGGAUCAAUGAGAAUGGACUCAACAACUAUCAAGCCUCCCUAAGGACAGGAUUGUCUCACUUUUAUAUUGACUGACUGAUUGAUCUCCAUAUUAGAAUGGAAAAUAGAAGAGAGAAUGUUCAUAGUCUUUAUCAUGAGGAAAUGGUAAACAAAAUGAAGACUUCUAUAUGGUGAGAGAGCAAAAAGAGAAAAGAAGAGAAGAGAGAAAAGAAUUGGCAGGAGAGAAGAACCUGUAAUUCUUAAAGAAAAUGUGAGGUUGACACACCCCUGCUCACAAACCUUUAAUGAUUCCCACAGACAACAGGCAACUGAACUGAAGAGAUGGAGGCCUGUCACCACCAAGGAAGAGGAGAGACAUCUGUCUUUGUGGACAGUGGAGGUGAACUUUCCCAAGAGGAAAAGAAUCCAGCAACAUGAAGAUGGGACGAGGAAGUACAGAUCUAAGGAGGAGAAAACAUUCCAGGAAUGAUCCUAGCAGCAGGAAGGCAGAGAGGAAAGGUCAAAAGAGACAAGAGAGUUCAUCAGAGAAAGAAGAGAGAAAGUGCCCGAGUUGCUCACAGUGAAGAGACAGCUAAAUACUGGUUCUGAUGGGGAAGUUCUUUGUCCACAAUGGAGCUUUUGAAAAAAAAAAAUGUUCCUCACUCAUGGACAGGAAAGAUCAAUGAUGAAGAGUCCAUCUCCCUAAUGAGAUUGAGGGUUCCUUGAGGGUAGGAGCAGUGUCCUGCACCCCUUCAUGUACUGCCUCAUCCACCCUCACCCCCCAAAAAACAGGCCCUUGUAUUAUU